rnacentral:rRNA from 1 species
CAGUAGCCGCGGUAAUACGUAGGGUGCGAGCGUUGUCCGGAAUUACUGGGCGUAAAGAGCUCGUAGGCGGUUUGUCGCGUCGUCUGUGAAAUUCUGCAGCUUAACUGUAGGCGUGCAGGCGAUACGGGCAGACUUGAGUACUACAGGGGAGACUGGAAUUCCUGGUGUAGCGGUGAAAUGCGCAGAUAUCAGGAGGAACACCGGUGGCGAAGGCUGGUCUCUGGGUAGUAACUGACGCUGAGGAGCGAAAGCGUGGGUAGCGAACAGGAUUAGAUACCCGCGUAGUCCCUGUCUCUUAUAC